GGAGACUGCAGCAGCAUAAGCUCCCGCUGACCAAGGCCACUGCCCAGCGACCUGCUCCCACCUAUCUGCCACAAAGGCCAAAGCUCAGCUUCCAAUGUGGCUCGUUCCUGGAGGAGGCCAGCUGACCGCUUGGUGGCAAAUAGGCCACACUGAGCUCCUUCCAUCCUGGAAAGGCCAGCAGCUCACUUGGAGGGGAAGAUAUUCCAAGCCUGGGUUUGCCUUUCCCACCCGCCUACCCAACCUCCACCAGCAACACGGUCUGCGAUCUCCCCUGUGUUUCAUCCCCUGACUCGGGCCCCCUCUGACCAUCACAGCAGAGGAGGUGGGGCAGGCCCACAAGCACAGGCCUCGGGCCAGAUCACACGACACCCACUCGGAAACUGGAGUCAACAGAGAGCCGCAGCUGCUCGUACCGGGCAAGUCUCUGCGGGGUGGGACCCUGUCCCAGGACGCAGGAUUGGCGCUGAGCUCGGGAUCUCUGUGUGCACCUGCAUCGCUGGUAGGAGGACGCCCAGGAACCAAGGAGUGAGGCAGGAGCAGCCCCCGGCAUCAUCACUCCCAGUGACCCAGGAAGGGAUUUGUGCUUUUUUCCCUGCGGCUCUGGGCACUGCAGAGUUAGAGGUCCUGGUCCCCGGGGAUGGAGGGAGGGGGUAUAUCAGCGGGCACAGAGCAUGUCCAGUGACGCACAAACCACGGCUGCCCUCUGGUGCGUCGGGUUCCUUGUGGGGGGAUCACCAGGCAGGAGAGAGCACCACCGUCCUGGCAGGUACAACAGACCCCAGCCAGAGGGUGGAGGCGGGGCCGCGGCUGCACAGGGGGCAUGUGGGGAAUUCAGGUGAUCUGCGUGGACACCUCAUGGUGGCCCUGGCCAGCUGUCACUAAAUGGGCAGCUACGGCAGGCCCCGCUGGACAUGGCAUGGUGGCAGGGUGCCAGAGCCCUCGGUAGGAAGGACUGGGUCACAGCACUAAGUGAACUGCUGUUGUCUGCAGAGACAUAACUGAGGGUGAGGGUCCGGGCUGGGUAAUGGAAGGAGGGGGAAACGGCUCAAGGGGGCUAGCAUGGGCGCAGCAGCCACUGCACUGGGGCCAUGAUCACAGAGUCAUUGCCCAGAAGCAUAGCUCCGGGGCACUGGGCCAUGCUCGUGACUUGGUGAAUGAGUGAAUGGGUGAGUGAAUGAGCUUCACAGAUUUCCACAGUGAAGAGAACCCUUAGAGUGUCUGAUCCGCCCCUCCAUUUGCAAAGCACAGAUCUGGAAACUGGACGGCCCCAAACUGAGUCCAAGUCCUGCAUCUGCCAGUCGUGUGAACUUGGGCAUGAGAACGCCCUUCUCUCUGCAAGAAGAUGCCCGCCCUUACCAAGGUGACUUCCAAGGACUUCAGGAACCUGAAACCUCGUCCUUGAUCGACUCGUGGUGUUGAAGGCCCUGCCAAAGCCAGCCUGGCACUGCUCUCUGGGAUGGAGACGGGAGAUGGCAUUCCGGGUCUAAAUUCUCGUGGGUGGUUCUCAGCUGUCAGGAGGUGCCAGGCUUACCUGCCAGGACCGUGGUUUUCUGUCAUUGUAACUGUGGGAAUGGCUAAGUCCUGUCUAUGACAGUCACACGAAAUAAAGUGUUCUGUGCUCCAGG
rnacentral:lncRNA from 1 species